CACAUCUACAUAUUAUUUUGGUACCCUGUGCUUGUAUGACAUAUGGACAUACAGCCAGUAGGAAUUCCAAAUUUUUUUCUGUUUAUUUUUCAAAUUUGAGCCCUGCCUUUCCCCCCAUCCUCAUCCAGCCUUCUAGAUCCCUGUUAUAGAUUCAUCUAAGCCUCCCUUCAGACCUCUUCUGUAAAUUCGAUAUCAGUUGGAGUUUAAAGUUUCAGUUUAAUAACCUAGUAACCGUAGUUGAACGUCCUCUUCCACGUAUGAGUUUUCUACUUCCUUCUGUAGCCAUUCACUCUGUGAUUUACCCUGACAAAUACAGGAUUUGGAAUUCAUUACUUUUGCAAUUUCAGUCUGCUAGCAAUGAUAGAGGUUGUAAUCUAGAAAGGAUUGAAGUGGACAGCAUUUACUAUUGUACAGUGAAAACAGAGUUCUGAAUUUGCCAGUAUAGACCUGAUCUAGGGAUGCUUCUGUAGGCAGUAAGGACUGCCAGAAGUAUGUGCUGGCUUAGGGCUUGCAUCUGCUUUAUUAGAUUUCCUAUAAACUUCCAGAUGAAAAAAAAACCAACCUAGCAUUUUUUUUUUACUGUAGACUACCUCCUGAGUUUGCAAUAGCCGACUUUCAAUUUAAGGGUUUUUUUCAGCCUCUAAAAUGCUCAAUGUAGCAUAAAGACUAAUGGUGUAGUCGAAAGGUUGGACUCACUAUAUUUCAUUCAGAUCUUAUAAUACCCACUCUAACAUAGCUAUAGGCCUGACUCAUAAUAAUGAACAUAUCCCUGAGGAUUUAAGAAAGAUUUGUUAUUAAACUUAGGUUCUGUGGUAAACUUUUGCUAAAACAGCUUAACUGUAACUUCUGAAUGUUUUAAUAUUUUUGUGGAUUUAAUGGUUGUGAAAAGUGCUGGCUUGGUAUCUGUGAAAACUGAAGCCUAUUCUUUAUUCGUGGAUUAAUUACAGCAGAGCAGUUGCCAAGUGAUCUUCUCCACAGCACCCAUGAACUUCAGCCUUGAACUGAAGAGGACUCAUCAAAUGCCUUAGGAGAGACAGCACGGAAUUGGAAGAGAAGCAGGGGUCUCCAUGAAGGGCAGUCAACUACAGUCUUGGUAAGUUCAAAAAAUAUAUAUAAAAUUUUAUUUCCGUUAAAUUUUCACCUUUAUGAAGCAACAUAUAUUUAGGGCCCUGUUCACAGUGGGAAAACAAAGCCAGUUUUAUUGAAACAGUCUCUGCAUUCUCUGGAUUCAUUUAUGCCAUCACCACGUAAAAAUCUGUGUUUUAUUAUAGCUGAGUUUGUGGUGUAACUCCUGAAUGAAAACAAUAAGUGACAUAAAAUUCAUUAGUUAUUUUCACAGUGAUUAUGCUACAGUGUUUUCAUGCCCAGUUUGUGAACAAAACAAGAUAUAUAGGAUUGUGUUGUCUCCUAAUAACUUUUGCAUCCACCGCUUAGUUUCAGCUGCAUUUGAUAUAGAGAGAGAGGUCACAAAGUCAAGUUUCUACAAUUUGAGUGAAACUUAGCAGCUGGGAGUAGAGAAAGGACUCAAAUUAGUGCCCCCAGGGUAGAAAAAGCUGCAGCAUGGACUCGGAAAUUUUCUGUUCUGUUCCACCUGUUGACUUGCCAGUCAGCGUGCUUGGUUGGUCUGGCAGUCAACACAUGCGUAGCUCAGACCUAGCCACAAUGUGAGCUGCCUCUUUUUCUCCUAGAAGUCAGAAGCUGGUGUUUUCUGUGGGAAUUUAAGGAAAUCUGUUUAGAAGGGAAUGGGAAACCAGCCAACGUAGUGCCAGCUUGGGAUUACUGCACAAGUGUGUUGGUGGCACGCACAAGCACACUGAUAGGUAACUAGACUUCAUUACUUCUGCUAGUCAUGAAAAAACUCUUGGUUUUGCCAGGGCCUUCUAGUCUCCCAAACCACUUGUGAAUCAUUCCAUUUUAUGGUAGUUUCUAUACCUGGAUUAGAUGCAUGUUUUUCCUGUCCACGUCAGAGAAGGGAACUGUUGAGACAGCUUCAGUAUUUCAUUUCUUUGACUGUUUGGAUGUCAGCUCUGAGCUAUUCCUUAGGCUGUCAAAAUUGUAAAACUGUGUUUUCAGCUUUCCCCAGAAACUGACUGUAAUUUAGACUGCAGCUAUGUGUCCCUGACCCAUCCUACAACCUACACUCUUGGAGCAGUGCAGGAAACAUGCAUUGUAUUCCAAUUAACUUCCUUUGUGAAGAAAGAUGUGGAGCUAGGCACAGGGACAGAAAGCAAUAUUAGGAUCUGGCUGUAUCAAGUUGCCACAUUACAUUGCAACUUGGGAAUUGCUAAAUCUGUAGCUGCAUGAUUAAGGGCACCAUGAUUGUCCUGAAAGGUAUGGUGUGUCCAUGCCUCUCAGUCAGUGAGAAAUGCGCAGAUCACACUUGCCAGAGGUACUGGUUCACUUGUUUUGCAGGCUCAGGUAGGCAGCGCUAACUUGGCAGAUACCUGAUAUUUUUAAAUUUUCUGCGUAAUGUUAGACGGGGGGUCAAGAUACCUUAUAUACUUUUUAAACAGAACUUAGCACUGUAGCACUAUUCCUUAGAAACAGUUGAAUUUCUCAGAAUAACAGAAGCCUAAGAGUCAUGCAUAUGAAACAUAAAAUUUAAAAGCAGUAACAUGAGAAGAAGCACUUCUAAUUCAAUAUUGUAAGACAACUGCCUUGAAAUUUUUCAUAAAGUCUGAAAUGUGUAUUUUAAAUUUUUUUGUUUGUCCUCCUGCCCAGUUGAAAACCAUCAGCCUGGCAGCAAGGACUGAAAAACUGUGAUACUCUUCUCCAUUUUCUGCUUAUUUUCAUGUCUGUUGUUUCACAAAGUCAAAGCCAGUGAGAGAACAACUGGUCAUUUAAAAAAAAAAAAAAAAGACUGCAUUCUAUUUUUAUGGAACUUUUGGUUCUUCUGUUAGAUUCUCAAAUCCUUUCAUUUGGUCCCAGCUUUUUCUUUAGAAAACUAUCGUUGUUUCCCUAAUGCUACCUGUAUUAAAGGAAUGAAGAAUUGUCUUCUGCAUGUUUCUAGGAUCUAGUGGUUGUUCUUAUAACCUUUAUCACCAGUACUCUUGCAUAGUGUCACCAGUUAAAUAUUAUUUCAUUGAACCUAUGGCUAACCUGUUUUUAAAUGGUUUAUAAUAUAUAAAAACAUUGUGACUUACAAUAUUUUCCUUUUAAAGAUCAACAUAGAUGUGUUUUUAAUAAGAAGAGUAAGGUCAGAUCAUGAAUGUUAAGUUUUGUGUGAAUAGCAAAGUGGUGGUAUAUUCUUGUUUAACAUUAUGUUGUGUGUUUCCAGUGCUUUAAAUGAUGUUCACUAAGAGCUUAAACUUAGCAAAUAAUUAAUUAUAGUUGAUUUUCAUAAGGAUUUUUUUGUUUUAAAAAGCUGUCCCUUUUAGUCUAAAAAUGUCUAAUACUAAACUACUUUUUACCAUGUAUUUUCGCCUUGGUCUUGGAUGUUGCCAUAUGUGGUCAGAUACUUUUACGAUCAUGAAGACCUCAGUAAAUUCACAGGCCUAUGCUGUGUGCCCAAAAUGGGUGGGACAGAUUUUAAGAAGGCUUAAGCAUUGGAAAGCGGCUUGCAUCAUAGGCCAAAGAAACUAGGGUAAUUAAUUUUUAGAAAAUAAUAAAUAAAAAAUUAUAUUUCAAAUACAUAUCAGUAAAAGCUCUCAUACUGUGCUCUCACUACAUGUAAAAUCCAGAAGCAAUUUUAAGCCAACUUUAUUUAAAGAAGGAGCUGCAAAUCCCUAUAAAUAAUAUGCAACUUAAAGAUGUAUAGAACUCCUUUAUUAUGUGCUAAAUGCUGUAAUAAAACAGGCUAUCAGUAGCUUUUGCUGCAUGUUACUAAUUUAAUUUUUUUUAUCCUGAUAUUUUUGCAGGUGUGUGGAGGAACAGGUUCUGUUCUCGCUGUUGCUACUCCCACAUACGCGGACUCUGUAACUGAUUAUGUGUGGGUAGGGCCCUAUUGAAAUUCAGGAGAUUCUGCAAUAGUGCAGGGUUCUUUUUGUGAAAGUUCAGUUGCAAGAUCAGGACCCUACUGUGACUCCUUACUGUGAAUUCUGUCAGUGUAUCAUUGAUUGUGCUGGAACCUGCCUUUUGGGAUAAUGUAAGUCCUGCUCUUCCCCCAAAUGUACAUUAGACAUGAAAUAAUCAUAAAACAUUUCUAAUUAGAAAAUUAGUAUCAUUUACAUGCAUUCUUUUAAUUAUGUUUUUUUGGCAGUACCAAAUAAUAUAUUCCUCAAAACUUCUUAAUGGCACUGAGGCUUUGUGGAUAGUUGGUCACAUGAUGAGAAAAUUCAGCUGUAAGUACAUUGAAAUGAUUGAAUUUUUCAAUAGUUAGUCUUUACUGAUGUUGACAAACUAAUAAUGAUAAAAAG